GACGAACGCUGGCGGCGUGGAUUAGGCAUGCAAGUCGAACGGUAUCAUCCUUUCGGGGGUGAGAGAGUGGCGAACUGGUGAGUAACACGUAGGUUAUCUACCCUCAAGACGGGGACAACCCAGGGAAACUUGGGCUAAUACCGGAUGUGAGCAACUUUUAGUUGUUUGAAAGGUGGCGUAAGCUGUCGCUUGGGGAUGAGCCUGCGUCCUAUUAGUUAGUUGGUGAGGUAACGGCUCACCUAGGCAAUGAUAGGUAGGCGGCCUUAACGGGUGGUCGCCCACACUGGGAUUGAGAUACGGCCCAGACUCCUACGGGAGGCAGCAGUCGAGAAUAGUCUACAAUGGUCGGAAGACUGAUAGUGCGACGCCGCGUGAACGAUGAAUCCCUUCGGGGUGUAAAGUUCUUUUAUAUGUGAGCAGUGCUUCUUAUAUUAACAGUAUGGGGAGAGAGAUAUUAGCAUAUGAAUAAGCAACGGCUAAACUCCGUGCCAGCAAGCCGCGGUAAAAU
rnacentral:rRNA from 1 species